rnacentral:rRNA from 1 species
ACUAACAAGGAUUCCCCUAGUAACUGCGAGUGAAGCGGGAAAAGCUCAAAUUUAAAAUCUGGCGGUCUUUGGCCGUCCGAGUUGUAAUCUAGAGAAGUAAUGCCCGUGCUGGACCGUGUAUAAGUCUCCUGGGAUGGGGCGUCAUAGAGGGUGAGAAUCCCGUCUUUGACACGGACUACCAGUGCAUUGUGGUAUGCUCUCAAAGAGUCGAGUUGUUUGGGAAUGCAGCUCAAAAUGGGUGGUAAAUUCCAUCUAAAGCUAAAUAUUGGCGAGAGACCGAUAGCGAACAAGUACCGUGAGGGAAAGAUGAAAAGAACUUUGGAAAGAGAGUUAAACAGUACGUGAAAUUGCUGAAAGGGAAACGCUUGAAGUCAGUCGCGUUGGCCAGGGAUCAGCCUUGCUUUUGCAUGGUGUACUUUCUGGUUGACGGGUCAGCAUCAAUUUUGACCGCUGGAAAAGGGCCUGGGGAAUGUGGCAGCUUCGGCUGUGUUAUAGCCCCUGGUCGCAUACAGUGGUUGGGAUUGAGGAACUCAGCACGCCGCAAGGCCGGGUUUCGACCACGUUCGUGCUUAGGAUGCUGGCAUAAUGGCUUUAAGCGACCCGUCUUGAAACACGGACCAAGGAGUCUAACAUGCCUGCGAGUAUUUGGGUGGAAAACCCGAGUGCGCAAUGAAAGUGAAAGUUGAGAUCCCUGUCGUGGGGAGCAUCGACGCCCGGACCAGAACUUUUGGGACGGAUCCGCGGUGGAGCAUGUAUGUUGGGACCCGAAAGAUGGUGAACUAUGCCUGAAUAGGGUGAAGCCAGAGGAAACUCUGGUGGAGGCUCGUAGCGAUUCUGACGUGCAAAUCGAUCGUCAAAUUUGGGUAUAGGGGCGAAAGACUAAUCG